GUCUGUAUGAAGUUAUAUGGAGUCUGGCCUGCCCGUUGAAGAAAUUUGAAAGGCCGCGGUAUAUUAACUGUGCAAAGGUAGCAUAAUCAUUAGUUUUUUAAUUGAAGGCUUGUAUGAAGGGUCUGACAAAGGAAAAGCUGUCUUUAUUUUUAUUUUUGAAUUUAACUUUUAAGUGAAAAGGCUUAAAUUAGUUUAAGGGACGAUAAGACCCUAUAAAUCUUUAUAUUAUAUUGUUAUCUUGGGUUUUAAUUGAGAUUGUAAAUAAGACAGAAAGAGAAUAAUAGAUAUUUUGUUGGGGUGACGAGAACAUAAAUUAAACUGUUUUAAAAAAAAACAAAGUUAUUUGUUUAGGGAGGUAGUAGAUCCUUUUUAUAGAUUAAGAGUUUAAGAUACUUUAGGGAUAACAGCGUUAUUUUUUUUGAGAGUUCUUAUCGAAAAAAAAGUUUGCGACCUCGAUGUUGAAUUAAAAUUUCUUUGUGGUGUAGCAGUUACGGGAAGAGAGUCUGUUCGACUUUU
rnacentral:rRNA from 1 species